UUCCAGCCCUUCCUGAAUGAGAAUGCAUUUGGGCUCUCUGCCCAGUUCUGAUCUGUAAGCUGCCUCCUCAGUUCGUCAACUCCAUGUAGCCCGGAUCCUACCCCACCUUCCAGGCCUUCUACUCACCCCUGGGGGAAAAUGAGAGGCAGUUUGGAUGGCGUUUCCUGUUGUUUACAAACACAUCCUAAUUGACAUAGCCUCAUAAGCCCCCACU
ensembl:lncRNA